rnacentral:rRNA from 1 species
UCCAGACUCCUACGGGAGGCAGCAGUGGGGAAUAUUGCACAAUGGGGGGAACCCUGAUGCAGCGACGCCGCGUGGGUGAAGGAGCACCUCGGUGCGUAAAGCCCUAUCGGUAGGGAAGAAACAGACGGUACCUGACUAAGAAGCCCCGGCUAACUACGUGCCAGCAGCCGCGGUAAUACGUAGGGGGCAAGCGUUAUCCGGAUUUACUGGGUGUAAAGGGAGCGUAGACGGCGAUACAAGUCUGAAGUGAAAGCCCGGGGCUCAACCCCGGGACUGCUUUGGAAACUGUGUUGCUGGAGUGCUGGAGAGGCAAGCGGAAUUUCUAGUGUAGCGGUGAAAUGCGUAGAUAUUAGGAAGAACACCAGUGGCGAAGGCGGCUUGCUGGACAGUAACUGACGUUGAGGCUCGAAAGCGUGGGGAGCAAACAGGAUUAGAUCCCCUAGUA